rnacentral:tRNA from 1 species
GCUCGGUUGGUAGAACAUGAGACUCUUAAUUUCAAGAUUGUGGGUUUGAGCCCCACAUUGGGUA